rnacentral:rRNA from 1 species
UACGAAGGGGGCUAGCGUUGCUCGGAAUCACUGGGCGUAAAGGGCGCGUAGGCGGCCGAUUAAGUCGGGGGUGAAAGCCUGUGGCUCAACCACAGAAUUGCCUUCGAUACUGGUUGGCUUGAGACCGGAAGAGGACAGCGGAACUGCGAGUGUAGAGGUGAAAUUCGUAGAUAUUCGCAAGAACACCAGUGGCGAAGGCGGCUGUCUGGUCCGGUUCUGACGCUGAGGCGCGAAGGCGUGGGGAGCAAACAGG